UACGUAGGUGGCAAGCGUUGUUCGGAUUUACUGGGCGUAAAGGGCGCGUAGGCGGCCACCGCAAGUCGACUGUGAAAUCUCCGGGCUUAACCCGGAAAGGUCAGCCGAUACUGCGGGGCUAGAGUGCAGAAGGGGCAACUGGAAUUCUCGGUGUAGCGGUGAAAUGCGUAGAUAUCGAGAGGAACACCUGCGGCGAAGGCGGGUUGCUGGGCUGACACUGACGCUGAGGCGCGAAAGCCAGGGGAGCAAACGGG
rnacentral:rRNA from 1 species